rnacentral:rRNA from 1 species
CCUACGGGUGGCUGCAGUGGGGGAUAUUGCACAAUGGGGGAAACCCUGAUGCAGCGACGCCGCGUGUGGGAAGACGGUCCUCUGGAUUGUAAACCACUGUCCCCAGGGACGAAAAUGCCGGUACCUGGGGAGGAAGCUCCGGCUAACUACGUGCCAGCAGCCGCGGUAAUACGUAGGGAGCGCGCGUUGUCCGGAAUUACUGGGUUUAAAGGGAGCGUAGGCGGGGAUGCAAGUUGGGUGUAAAAACUACCGGCUCAACUGGUAGUCGCACUCAAAACUGCAUCUCUUGAGUGAAGUAGAGGCAGGCGGAAUGCCUAGUGUAGCGGUGAAAUGCGUAGAUAUUAGGCGGAACUCCAGUCGCGAAGGCGGCCUGCUGGGCUUUUACUGACGCUGAGGCUCGAAAGUGUGGGGAGCAAACAGGAUUAGAUACCCGGGUAGUC